CUAGGAUGAACGCUAGCGACAGGCUAACACAUGCAAGUCGAGGGGUAACAGGGUAGCAAUACCGCUGACGACCGGCGCACGGGUGAGUAACGCGUAUGCAACCUGCCUAUAACUGGGGAAUAGCUCCCUGAAAGGGGAAUUAACACCGCAUAACACUAUUGAUUCGCAUGGAUUGGUAGUUAAAUGUAGCGAUACAGGUUAUAGAUGGGCAUGCGUGACAUUAGCUAGUUGGUGAGGUAACGGCUCACCAAGGCUACGAUGUCUAGGGGUUCUGAGAGGAAGGUCCCCCACACUGGUACUGAGACACGGACCAGACUCCUACGGGAGGCAGCAGUGAGGAAUAUUGGUCAAUGGGCGCAAGCCUGAACCAGCCAUGUCGCGUGCAGGAAGACUGCCCUAUGGGUUGUAAACUGCUUUUAUAGUAGAAGAAACACAUCUACGUGUAGAUGUCUGCCAGUAUACUAUGAAUAAGCAUCGGCUAACUCCGUGCCAGCCGCUGC
rnacentral:rRNA from 1 species